rnacentral:rRNA from 1 species
CUAGAUGGUGUAUCCCUACAUAGCGGGUGGGACCCACGGCGAAUGGUUCAUCAAGUCUUCAAAAAAGAAUAUAUACGAUUGCAUUGCAUAUACUAACGGAUGCGAUCAUACCAGCACUAAUGCACCGGAUCCCAUCAGAACUCCGCAGUUAAGCGUGCUUGGGCGAGAGUAGUACUAGGAUGGGUGACCUCCCGGGAAGUCCUCGUGUUGCAUCCCUCUUUUAUGUUUAACCUUUUUUUUUUU